UUCUGGAAAUGGAUCAGAACUCAACACUACAGGUAACUGCAUCAUGUUUAACUGUAAUUAGUAAUGUAGCAUAUGAGAUUGAUUAAGGUCAAGUAAUGGUCCAGAACAUAAUCACGCCAAAUGUUAAUGUUCAUUAUCUGCUUUUUUCCCCACAUUGUGUCAGCAGACUUCAUGUUGAAUCAGCAGCAGAAGAAUACCAUCAUAUCUCUGUUAGGUGCUGCUUUGGCAAUAUGUGUGAUUGUUAAUGGCUUUCUCAUUUAUGCAAUCAAGAAACUCCAGGGGAAAUAUUGUGGUGUUUGCAACACUGCUGUUACUCUGCAUACAAAUGAAACAACAGCGGGUCAAAAUCAGCGAGACAGAUGACUCGUUGAUUUAUUCUGCACCAACCUUCAUCAGAAGGAAAUCUAGCAAAGGGACUGGGGGUGCAAAAGCAAUGAAAGAAGAAUGUAUCUACACUGAUGCCCGGGCUCUUGGGUUGGCUUGAUGGUGUAAUACUGGAUUUGCUAAUCUUUGCAGAUGCAAUAUUUAUUUUCAUUCUGUUCAAGAAAGGUACUAGCCCCUAAUGUCAUGAAUUCAAUUAAUAUAAUGGAUUGUACUGUAUGUAUAUGUUUUGCACACAUAAGUAAUCUUCAUGACACAAAAGUAAUAUAAAAGCUACUGUAAGCUUGUGUAGAUAGACAUACUGUACACUGUAGGGAUACAUAUUUGUUUCAUUGUGAGUUAUCAAAGUUGUGAACAACAACUUGCAUCAUACAGUUUCAAGUCUGUACAUUUACAUUUUCCAAAUCUGUGUACUGUCUGUGUCAAUGCUAUGUAAAGAUAAUUGUGUGUUGCUUUUUUCCUAAUAAAUAAUUGAAU